rnacentral:rRNA from 1 species
UGGGGAAUCUUGCACAAUGGGGGCAACCCUGAUGCAGCGACGCCGCGUGAGCGAUGAAGGUUUUCGAAUCGUAAAGCUCUGUCCUAUGGGAAGAUAAUGACGGUACCAUAGGAGGAAGCCCCGGCUAACUACGUGCCAGCAGCCGCGGUAAUACGUAGGGGGCAAGCGUUGUCCGGAAUUACUGGGCGUAAAGGGUUCGCAGGCGGCAUGGCAAGUCCGAUGUAAAAGGCGAAGGCUCAACCUUCGUAAGCAUCGGAAACUGUCAAGCUUGAGUGAAGGAGAGGCAAGUGGAAUUCCUAGUGUAGCGGUGGAAUGCGUAGAUAUUAGGAGGAAUACCGGUGGCGAAGGCGACUUGCUGGACUUCAACUGACGCUGAGGAACGAAAGCGUGGGUAGCAAACAGG